rnacentral:rRNA from 1 species
UACGGAGGAUGCGAGCGUUAUCCGGAUUUACUGGGUGUAAAGGGCGAGUAGACGGCGUUGCAAGUCAGAUGUGAAAACCUAGGGCUUAACCUUAGGACUGCAUCUGAAACUGUAAUGCUAGAGUGCAGGAGAGGUAAGCGGAAUUCCUAGUGUAGCGGUGAAAUGCGUAGAUAUUAGGAAGAACACCAGUGGCGAAGGCGGCUUACUGGACUGUAACUGACGUUGAGGCGCGAAAGCGUGGGGAGCAAACAGG